GACGAACGCUGGCGGCGUGCCUAACACAUGCAAGUCGAACGGAGUAAAGAGCUUCGGUUUUCUACUUAGUGGCGAACGGGUGAGUAACGCGUGAGGAACCUGCCUCUCAGUGGGGGACAACAGUUGGAAACGACUGCUAAUACCGCAUAAUGUAGCGAAACCGCAUGAUCUUGCUACCAAAGCUUUAUGCGCUGAGAGAUGGCCUCGCGUCUGAUUAGCUAGUUGGUGGGAUAACGGCCCACCAAGGCGACGAUCAGGAGCCGGUCUGAGAGGAUGAACGGCCACAUUGGGACUGAGAUACGGCCCAGACUCCUACGGGAGGCAGCAGUGGGGAAUAUUGGGCAAUGGGGGAAACCCUGACCCAGCAACGCCGCGUGAAGGAAGAAGGCCCUCGGGUUGUAAACUUCUUUUACCAGGGACGAAGAACGUGACGGUACCUGGAGAAAAAGCCACGGCUAACUACGUGCCAGCCGCCGCCGUAACAC
rnacentral:rRNA from 1 species